GUCAAAGAGCGCGUUGAAGUUCGAGAGCGUGGAGAAGGGCGAGACUCAGGUGGUUUCCGGCACCAAUUACCGGCUGAUCUUGGUCGUCAAGGACGGACCUUCGACCAAGAAAUUUGAAGCUGUCGUUUGGGAGAAGCCGAGGGAGCAUUUCAAGAGUCUCACCUCGUUUAAGCCUUUUAAGCCUAUGGUUGGGGGAUGGAAGCCGAUAGAGGACCUCAAGGAGAAGCACGUGAUGGAGAUCGGGCAGUUCGCGGUGACGGAGUACAACAAACGGUCAAAGAGCACGUUGAAGUUCGAGAGCGUGGAGAAGGGCGAGACUCAGGUGGUUUCCGGCACCAAUUACCGGCUGAUCUUGGUCGUCAAGGACGGACCUUCGACCAAGAAAUUUGAAGCUGUCGUUUGGGAGAAGCCAUGGGAGCAUUUCAAGAGUCUCACCUCGUUUAAGCCUUUUAAGCCUAUGGUUGGGGGAUGGAAGCCGAUAGAGGACCCCAAGGAGAAGCAUGUGAUGGAGAUCGGCCAGUUCGCGGUGACGGAGUACAACAAACGGUCAAAGAGCGCGUAAAAGUUCGAGAGCGUGGAGAAGGGCGAGACUCAGGUGGUUUCCGGCACCAAUUACCGGUUGAUCUUGGUCGUCAAGGACGGACCUUCGACCAAGAAAUUUGAAGCUGUCGUUUGGGAGAAGCCAUGGGAGCAUUUCAAGAGUCUCACCUCGUUUAAGCCUUUUAAGCCUAUGGUUGGGGGAUGGAAGCCGAUAGAGGACCCCAAGGAGAAGCAUGUGAUGGAGAUCGGCCAGUUCGCGGUGACGGAGUACAACAAACGGUCAAAGAGCGCGUUGAAGUUCGAGAGCGUGGAGAAGGGCGAGACUCAGGUGGUUUCCGGCACCAAUUACCGGUUGAUCUUGGUCGUCAAGGACGGACCUUCGACCAAGAAAUUUGAAGCUGUCGUUUUGGAGAAGCCAUGGGAGCAUUUCCAGAGUCUCACCUCGUUUAAGCCUAUGCCUAUGCUUGGGGGAUGGAAGCCGAUAGAGGACCCCAAGGAGAAGCAUGUGAUGGAGAUCGGGCAGUUCGCGGUGACGGAGUACAACAAACGGUCAAAGAGCGCGUUGAAGUUCGAGAGCGUGGAGAAGGGCGAGACUCAGGUGGUUUCCGGCACCAAUUACCGGUUGAUCUUGGUCGUCAAGGACGGACCUUCGACCAAGAAAUUUGAAGCUGUCGUUUUGGAGAAGCCAUGGGAGCAUUUCAAGAGUCUCACCUCGUUUAAGCCUAUGCCUAUGCUUGGGGGAUGGAAGCCGAUAGAGGACCCCAAGGAGAAGCACGUGAUGGAGAUCGGGCAGUUCGCGGUGACGGAGUACAACAAACGGUCAAAGGGCGCGUUGAAGUUCGAGAGUGUGGAGAAGGGUGAGACUCAGGUGGUUUCCGGCACCAAUUACCGGUUGAUCUUGGUCGUCAAGGACGGACCUUCGACCAAGAAGUUUGAAGCUGUCGUUUGGGAGAAGCCAUGGGAGCAUUUCAAGAGUCUCACCUCGUUUAAGCCUAUGGUUAAAUAGGGUGUUUAACAAAUAACAAAUGCAUGUAAUCUCAGUAGACAUCAAUCUUUUAAUACCAUAUUUAAUGGUUAUUCUAUUUUGUUUAAUUAAAUAAAUGAUAGGUAUACUAUUACCUAUCAAUCAUGGCAAUGUCUUAGUCUGUUUUAGUUCAACUUAUAAGAUUUUUUGAGAUGUACAAAAAAUCUUUUUGUUUACUUUUGAGCCAAAUAUUUUCUUGAAAAAGGAAAUAAAUCAAUAAAAAUUAUUGUAUGUGUCAACAUAUUGGUUAUAUUAGUCUAUACACGUCGUCUUUAAUUACCAUAUCUCCUAAAUAUUUUACUUUUUUUGAAACAAACUCAAAAAUUUGUUGUAUAAAAAACACUAUCACUUUCAAUCAUAACGUCCUCCUGGUCCUCCAUUGGGGAUAUUAUAGUGUGUCAUUCUGUAACCCAGAACUAUCAUUUCUUCCAC
rnacentral:lncRNA from 1 species